rnacentral:lncRNA from 1 species
GAGCUCAAACUUCUUCUUGAUGUCUAGCUGGAAAGAGAGCAUAAAAUGUACCAGCCUUGAAGUCCAACCAAAGUCAAGCUCCUUGAAUUUGAUGAACACUCCUAACUUCGACGCCUUCAGAUCCUCAUAUUCGUCAACUGUGAGACAAUCACAUAGAGAUUUAAACAACUUCAUGUCAUCAGAAUGAUACGAAAUGCUCCUGAUUGCAUCAGGCUCUUCUCCUAAUGUAAAUAUCCUCGGCGGGAAUUCUGGUAAAUCCAUUUUAAGGCCUGCAAAUAAUCACAAACAACCAUCUCAAACAAC